AUUGAACGCUGGCGGCAGGCCUAACACAUGCAAGUCGAACGAGUGGCGGACGGGUGAGUAAUGGCUGGGAAACUGCCCGAUGGAGGGGGAUAACUACUGGAAACGGUAGCUAAUACAGCAUAACAUACGAUGUGCCCAGAUGGGAUUAGCUAGUAGGUGGGGUAACGGCUCACCUAGGCGACGAGCCCGAGCUGGUCUGAGAGGAUGACCAGCCACACUGGAACGUAGACACGGUCCCGACGCCUACGGGAGGCAGAAGUGGGGACUAUGGCACAAUGGGCGCAAGCCUGAUGCAGCCAUGCCGCGUGUAUGAAGAAGGCCUUCGGGUUGUAAAGUACUUUCAGCGGGGAGGCGUUACCCGCAGAAGAAGCACCGGCUAACUCCGUGCCAGCAGCCGCGGUAAUAC
rnacentral:rRNA from 1 species